rnacentral:rRNA from 1 species
UACGGAGGGUGCAAGCGUUAUCCGGAUUCACUGGGUUUAAAGGGUGUGUAGGCGGGCAGAUAAGUCAGUGGUGAAAUCCCCGAGCUUAACUUGGGAACUGCCAUUGAUACUAUUUGUCUUGAAUGUCGUGGAGGUUAGCGGAAUAUGUCAUGUAGCGGUGAAAUGCUUAGAUAUGACAUAGAACACCUAUUGCGAAGGCAGCAUACUACGCGAAUAUUGACGCUGAGGCACGAAAGCGUGGGGAUCAAACAGG